UUUCGGAUCUCGGCCCGGGAAGCGAGGGCAGCUGUGUGUUAAGGAGAAGAGGAAAACUAGAGAAAGAACCCAGAGUAAAACCUGUGAAAAAGGAAAAAGAGUCGGAGCACUUACCCAGUAGAGGUCCGGAGCCAAGUGGCUGAACGAAGGAGAGUUACGUCGGCUAACUGCUUGCCUGUCCGCCGGAGAGCUGCUACGAGGUUCGGCAUCGGCAUGCUACACCUUGAUACACAGAGCAACGGUCAGGACUGAGAGUCUGAGGUUCAGGACAACUUCCUGCUGUGAAAGAUGGCGAGCCAACUACCCUGAUUGAAGAUUAGCACCGAGGAGAUAUUCACGUACACACUCAUUCACACAAAUAAUACACUCACAUUACACUACAAGGAACCUUGGAAUCAGGUGAACUUUCAACAACUCCUUUUAUUUUAAGGGCCCCAACAGACAUUUUUGUUUUAAGUGUGCACACUACUUUUUUUUAUUUUUCUUACUGUUUGGUAUAUUCUGCAUUUUGUACGAACCAGACAAAUUACUUUGUUCACUGUAAAAUAUAAGAGUGGCUACUCAAUUGUUACUCUUGUGUCUGCCUCAUUGUUGUUGCUCAGUACAGUGGCUCCUCUCGAAUUUGGUCUCUUCUGAUUCUGGUCCUGGUCUUAUUGUUAGUCCAACUUAUAUUAUACUGUAAUUCACUUUUACACUCCUAAAAUUGGUUACAUUUGCGUCACAUCCGCAGUCUCUCUUUUAUCACACCAUUCUCUUUCCCCUUCUCUGAAUCUCCUCUUCCUCCACUGAAUAAUUUUCUCUGUUUGCCUGUCUUUCUGUCUGUAGGUUUGCCUGUCUCUAUGUCUGUAGGUUUGCCUGUCUUUCUGUCUGUAAGUUUUUCCUGUCUCUCUGCCUGCAGGUUUGCCUGUCUUUCUGUCUUUAGAUUUGCCUGUCUCUGUGUCUUUGGGUUUGCCUGUCUUCUGUCUGUAGGUUUGCCUGACUCUAUGUCAGUAUGUUUGCCUUUCUUUCUGUCUGUAGGUUUGUCAGUCCGUCUGUGUGUCUUGGUUGUGGAGGGGAUUCGACAUGGAGACUGUCUCUGGAAGGCGGCUGAAACAGACCGUACCAUAUCCUUCUUCUGGAGUUGCCUGGGAGAUGAUUAUUUUGGUCAUUCCUUAUUUUCUUUCUUUCUUUCUUUCUUUCUUUC
ensembl:lncRNA